rnacentral:rRNA from 1 species
UACGUAGGGUGCGAGCGUUGCUCGGAAUCACUGGGCGUAAAGGGUGCGUAGGCGGGUCUUUAAGUCAGGGGUGAAAUCCUGGAGCUCAACUCCAGAACUGCCUUUGAUACUGAGGAUCUUGAGUUCGGGAGAGGUGAGUGGAACUGCGAGUGUAGAGGUGAAAUUCGUAGAUAUUCGCAAGAACACCAGUGGCGAAGGCGGCUUACUGGUCCGGUUCUGACGCUGAGGCGCGAAAGCGUGGGGAGCAAACAGG